ensembl:lncRNA
AGUGGUUAGAGUGUAGAGGAGGCAGGUAGCCUAGUGGUUAGAGUGUUGAGGCGGCAGGUAGCCUAGUGGUUAGAGUGUAGAGGUGGCAGGUAGCCUAGUGGUUAGAGUGUAGAGGUGGCAGGUAGCCUAGUGGUUAGAGUGUAGAGGGGGCAGGUAGCCUAGUGGUUAGAGUGUAGAGGAGGCAGGUAGCCUAGUGGUUAGAGUGUAGAGGCAGCGUAGCCUAGUGGUUAGAGUGUAGAGGUGGCAGGGUAGCCUAGUGGUUAGAGUGUAGAGGUGGCAGGUAGCCUAGUGGUUAGAGUGUAGGGGCGGCAGGUAACCUAGUGGUUAGAGUGUAGAGGUGGCAGGUAGCCUAGUGGUUAGAGUGUAGGGGCGGCAGGGUAGCCUAGUGGUUAGAGUGUAGAGGUGGCAGGUAGCCUAGUGCUUAGAGUGUAGAGGAGGCAGGUAGCCUAGUGGUUAGAGUGUAGAGGUGGCAGGUAGCCUAGUGGUUAGAGUGUAGAGGAGGCAGGUAGCCUAGUGGUUAGAGUGUAGAGGUGGCAGGUAGCCUAGUGGUUAGAGUGUAGAGGCAGCGUAGCCUAGUGGUUAGAGUGU